GGAGAGGUGUCCGAGCUGGUUCAAGGAGCACGACUGGAAAUCGUGUAUCCGCCGAAAAGCGGAUCGCGGGUUCGAAUCCCGCUCUCUCCG
rnacentral:tRNA from 7 species